CCUACGGGAGGCAGCAGUGAGGAAUAUUGGACAAUGGGCGCAAGCCUGAUCCAGCCAUGCCGCGUGCAGGAAGAAGCAUCUAUGGUGUGUAAACUGCUUUUGUACAGGAAGAAACACUCCCUCGUGAGGGAGCUUGACGGUACUGUAAGAAUAAGGACCGGCUAACUCCGUGCCAGCAGCCGCGGUAAUACGGAGGGUCCGAGCGUUAUCCGGAAUCAUUGGGUUUAAAGGGUCCGUAGGCGGUUUAAUAAGUCAGUGGUGAAAUCUGGUCGCUCAACGAUCAAACGGCCAUUGAUACUGUUAGACUUGAAUUAUAAGGAAGUAACUAGAAUAUGUAGUGUAGCGGUGAAAUGCUUAGAUAUUACAUGGAAUACCAAUUGCGAAGGCAGGUUACUACUUAUGGAUUGACGCUGAUGGACGAAAGCGUGGGGAGCGAACAGGAUUAGAUACCCUGGUAGUCCACGCCGUAAACGAUGGAUACUAGCUGUUCGGAGCAAUCUGAGUGGCUAAGCGAAAGUGAUAAGUAUCCCACCUGGGGAGUACGUUCGCAAGAAUGAAACCUUAAAGGAAUUGACGGCUGAGAGNGCGAGGACGACGACGAGGGAGGAGG
rnacentral:rRNA from 1 species